rnacentral:rRNA from 1 species
CCUACGGGGAGCAGCAGUGGGGAAUAUUGGACAAUGGGCGAAAGCCUGAUCCAGCCAUGCCGCGUGUGUGAAGAAGGCCUUCGGGUUGUAAAGCACUUUCAGUGGGGAAGAAAGCCUUGGGGCUAAUACCCUCGAGGAAGGACAUCACCCACAGAAGAAGCACCGGCUAACUCCGUGCCAGCAGCCGCGGUAAUACGGAGGGUGCGAGCGUUAAUCGGAAUUACGGGGCGUAAAGCGCGCGUAGGCGGUCUGAUAAGCCGGUUGUGAAAGCCCCGGGCUCAACCUGGGAACGGCAUCCGGAACUGUCAGGCUAGAGUGCAGGAGAGGAAGGUAGAAUUCCCGGUGUAGCGGUGAAAUGCGUAGAGAUCGGGAGGAAUACCAGUGGCGAAGGCGGCCUUCUGGACUGACACUGACGCUGAGGUGCGAAAGCGUGGGUAGCAAACAGGAUUAGAUACCCGGGUAGUC